rnacentral:rRNA from 1 species
AUUUAACGCUGGCGGCAGGCCUAACACAUGCAAGUCGAACGAGUGGCGGACGGGUGAGUAAUGUCUGGGAAACUGCCUGAUGGAGGGGGAUAACUACUGGAAACGGUAGCUAAUACCGCAUACCAUCGGAUGUGCCCAGAUGGGAUUGGCUAGUAGGUGGGGUAACGGCUCACCUUGGCGACGAUCCCUAGCUGGUCUGAGAGGAUGACCAGCCAAACUGGAACUGAGAAACGGUCAAGCCUCCUACGGGAGGCAGAAGUGGCGAAGAUUGAACAAUGGGCGCAAGGCUGAUGCAGCCAUGCCGCGUGUAUGAAGAAGGCCGUCGGGUUGUAAAGUACUUUCAGCGGGGAGGCGUUACCCGCAGAAGAAGCACCGGCUAACUACGUGCCAGCAGCCGCGGUAAUUC